rnacentral:rRNA from 1 species
UACGAAGGGGGCUAGCGUUGCUCGGAAUCACUGGGCGUAAAGGGCGCGUAGGCGGCCCUUCAAGUCGGAGGUGAAAGCCCAGGGCUCAACCCUGGAAUUGCCUUCGAUACUGUCUGGCUAGAGACCGGAAGAGGUAAGUGGAACUGCGAGUGUAGAGGUGAAAUUCGUAGAUAUUCGCAAGAACACCAGUGGCGAAGGCGGCUUACUGGUCCGGUUCUGACGCUGAGGCGCGAAAGCGUGGGGAGCAAACAGG